AGGAUAAACGCUGGCGGCGUGCAUGAGACAUGCAAGUCGAACGGACUUUCUCGGGCUUGCUCGAGAAAGUUAGUGGCGGACGGCUGAGUAACGCGUAGGUGACCUGUCCCGAAGUGGGGAAUAACUGCCCGAAAGGGUGGCUAAUACCGCAUGUGAUCGCUCAUUCGGUUGGGCGAUCAAAGCAGUAAUGCGCUUUGGGAGGGGCCUGCGUCCGAUUAGCUCGUUGGUGGGGUAAUGGCUCACCAAGGCGACGAUCGGUAGGUGGUCUGAGAGGACGAUCACCCAGACUGGGACUGAGACACGGCCCAGACUCCUACGGGAGGCAGCAGUCGGGAAUUUUUGCUCAAUGGACGAAAGUCUGAAGCAGCAACGCCGCGUGAGGGAUGAAGGCCUUCGGGUUGUAAACCUCUUUUGUCAGGACGAUUAUGACGGUACCUGGACGAAUAACGCCACGGCUAACUACGUGCCAGCAGCCGC
rnacentral:rRNA from 1 species